GCCUAUGGGGAACGGAGAAGAGCAGCGGGGUUGAGGCGCGCGCGCGGAGGCGGAGGAAGGUAGGCAGGAUAGGUUGGUUGGUUGGCUCGGUCAGCCGUUCCCUCCGCCCUCCCGCGGAGAAGAGGGCCCGGUGGAAAAGAUGAUUGAAGAAAGUGGAAAGAGGAGGAGGACAAUGGCAGAGAAAAGACAGCUCUUCAUGGAAAUGAGGGCUCAGAAUUUUGAUGUCAUCCGACUGUCAACAUAUCGGACUGCCUGCAAACUCAGAUUUGUGCAAAAAAGAUGUAAUU